rnacentral:rRNA from 1 species
UACGGGAGGCAGCCGGGGGGAAUAUUGGACAAUGGGCGCAAGCCUGAUCCAGCCGUACCGCGUGUGUGAAGAAGGCCUUCGGGUUGUAAAGCACUUUAAGCAGGGCAGCAAAAAGUUAUAAGUUAAUACCUUAUAGCCCUGAUGUUACCUGCAGAAAAAGCACCGGCUAAUUCCGUGCCAGCAGCCGCGGUAAU